CACGCUUUGACCAAUAUAAGCGGCCGAGCAAUGCGGGGUAUAGAUAGUAUUAGAAUAGUGUGAUGAUACAGUGGUUGUUGGUUCUUUUAAUGAAUAAAAACAAUAAACUUAAAAUGCGGCUACUAAUAUUCUGCCUGACCGUUGCUCUGGUCGCAGCCGACAGCGAGUACCUUCUGCCCGAUGACGUCAUACCUACGCACUAUGACGUGAAACUAGCCUACGAUACUGAUCCAAAGACUAACUUCACACACUUCGGCGUUGUUGAGAUUACGCUUACAGCAAAACGUCCGACAUCAAAAAUAGUCCUGCACGCGCAAGGCUUUUCCAUAGCCAACGAAAAAAUCAAAUUGACUAGUCAAAACCAUGAAUAUCAAGUUAAGGGUGUCGAUUUAAAUGAUACCUAUAAUUUCUUGACUUUGCAAAUAGACAGAGAAUUGAAGGAAGACAGGAUUUAUAAACUGGCCAUACCUUUUUAUGGGAAUUUGAAGCAAGGUCUGGAUGGAGUUUACAUUAGCUCCUAUGUGGAUAGUAAGCGUAAGAAGAAAGAGUACUUAAUAGCCACCCAGUUCGAGGCCAUAUCCGCCCGCAAAGGGUUCCCAUGUUUCGACGAACCGAUAUACAAGGCAACAUUUUCAAUCAAUAUCGCCCAUAAUAAAGAUUUUACAGCUGUCUCUAAUAUGCCUUUGCAAAGUUCUUCGAAUGAUAAUGCUCUAGAAGAUUUCUGGCCUUGGGAAAUGAUGAAACAAUCUUUCAGUGCACCCCGCGAACAAUUUGUCUGGGACCAAUUCGAGAAAUCAGUGCCAAUGUCCACAUAUCUAGUGGCGUUUGUAGUUUCCAAAUUCGCUUAUGUGGACAGUCCACCAGCUUUGUCCACUACUAAGUUCAGGAUCUGGGCAAGGAAAGAUGCUGUUGAUCAGACAGGCUACGCAGCCACCAUAGGUCCAAAAGUGCUAUCGUACUUCGAGAAAUUCUUCAACGUAUCCUUCCCUCUACCGAAACAAGACAUGAUUGCGAUCCCGGAUUUCUCUGCUGGGGCUAUGGAAAACUGGGGACUUAUUACGUAUAGAGAAACUGCAUUAUUGUACGAUAAGGGACAAUCGUCAUUUUUGAAUAAGGAAAGAGUUGCUGAGGUGAUAGCCCACGAGCUCGCCCACCAGUGGUUCGGCAACCUAGUAACAAUGAAAUGGUGGUCAGACUUGUGGCUAAACGAGGGUUUCGCUACAUUCGUCGCAUCUCUGGGCGUACGUGCAGCCGAACCGGCAUGGCGGGCGGAACAUGCGUACGCGGUGGGGAAUAUUAUGUCCGUGCUGGCGUUGGACGCGCUGGAGUCUUCGCACCCGGUGUCUGUAGCAAUAGAUGAUCCAAAGCGUAUAUCGGAGAUUUUCGACGAGAUCUCAUACAGAAAGGGUUCAACUCUAAUCCGCAUGAUGACAAUGUUCCUUGGCGAGGAUGUGUUUAGGAAAGCGCUGCAUAACUACCUCAUAACCCACUCAUACAACAACGCGGAACAGGACGACCUCUGGAAGGAACUCACUCAAGUGAGUCAACAAAAUGGCGGACUCACUCGAAACGUGACUGUGAAACAAGUGAUGGACACUUGGACAAGACAAACUGGUUAUCCGCUGCUUACAGUGAAUAGAGAUUAUGCGGAUAAUUCUUUGACUAUAUCACAGAAACGCUACCUCUCACUCGGCACAGCAAAAACCACCUCAUCCUGGUGGGUCCCACUCAGUGUGCUCUGCGAGAAGGAUUCCCAAAACCAACAAGUGCAAUGGCUAUCACAAUCCGAAGGUGUAGCUAAUGAAUACAGGUUCGAGCAUAGCGCAACGCCUGAUGAGUGGGUGCUGUUCAAUUAUAAUAUGAUCGCGCCCUACCGCGUGAACUACGACACCCGCAACUGGCAGCUCUUAGCCAGCACACUCAAACGGUCGCACGUUCGAAUCCCGGAGCUUGGCCGGGUGCAGCUGCUCUCUGACGCGUUUGAGCUCGCCUGGUCUAACCGGCUCGAUUAUAGCACUGCGCUUGAUCUAGCAAGCUACCUCCAACACGAAGAAGAAUACCUGCCCCUAUCCACAGGCCUCUCCGCUCUAAUAAAAAUAGAAAACGUACUAAAACGCACCCCACACUACGGCGCGUUCCAAAAGUACAUGCGUAAAAUAAUACGCAAUAAUUACGUGAAGGGAGGCUUGGCGACCAAACAGAUUGUGAACCCGGAUGACUUGAAUAGCGUGAAGAUGCAGGUAGCAACAAGUUCAGCGGCUUGUCGUGCUGAAGUUCCGGGAUGCAUUGAAAACGCGAUCGCUCUAUUCCAGCAAUGGAUGGAAACAGAUAAUCCUGAUGAGAAUAACCCCAUCCCGCUAGACCUGCGGCCCACAGUGUACUGCUAUGCUCUACGUCGCGGUGGGGCGGCGGCCUGGCGCUUCGCCCUGCAGCGCCGCCGCCACGCGCGGGUUGCAGCUGUGCGGGACACGCUGCUGCGGGCGCUCGCCUGCACACGCCAUGUGUGGCUGUUGGCGCAGUACUUAGAAUGGUCGAUAUCCGACAACUCAGACAUUCGUCGUCAAGACGCAGCUUCAGCGAUCACCUCUGUGCUCUCAUCUGACGUGGGUUAUUACAUUGCUAAGGACUUCGUGUACACACGUAUUGAGGAUAUGUAUAACGCGUUCCAAGGGCAGGGCCGUCGUUUGGGCUACAUUAUAAAAUCACUGCUCAAUCAAUUCACUACACAGAGGGAACUUGACGAGUUCCUAAAAUGGUCGUCCGAAAACAGCAAAUACCUAUCCGAAGCGAAACUCAGCGUGUCUCAGGGCAUCGAAAGAGCAAGAGUUAACAUCGCCUGGUUGAAACGGAAUGCGCAAAACGUUGUUAACGAUAUGCGGCAUGCUUCGCAGUAAGAUAUAUAAACAUACAUACAUACAAAUAUACAUACAUAAUAAAUGACUUAAUUGCAUAUACAAACAAAUACAAUAUGAUAAACGAUAUUAGUACGUAUACUUGUAGUGAAAUAGAUUUUGUAUAAUAAAGUGAUAUAGAUAAAAAAUAAUUUAUGUACUCGCAGUACUAUAUCUCAAUUCUCAAUAUACAGUGCAUUUGACACGGUGAGAUAUAAAUAUAGUACAUAUUAUACACAACUGAUAUAUGUACUACACUUAGGUAGUUUUCCAAUUACAAUGCGACUCACAAUGCCGAAUUUAUAUGGGGAAAAUUAAAAUUCUGUCACUGAGUUGGCAUCGAUUGCAGUUUGCACGCAUCACGCGCAUUACUUUUAAGAGUGCUCGAUUGUGCGAAGCGUUGCUGUAGUUGGAACACAUUGUUCUGUGAGUUGGAACAUUCAACGUUAAGCAUUAUGCCGCAUAAUGCGCUCUAGUGCUGUAAUUGGAAAACUACCUUAUACUACUUAAAUAUACAUGACGCUAAAUAGAAAUUGUUUUUAAUUAUGUUUUACAUGAUACAAGUACACAUGAUAAUAUAGUACACAGUAAGCAAGUAACUUUACACGAUAUACAGUACACAGUACAACUCACAGUGAACGUCUAACAUAACUCACAACAUAUUGCUCACAGUGAACACUAAUUCACACUAAACUAAAGUGUGAGUUAGCUUAUAUUUACUAUUACAUAUACAUUUAUAAACAUCACAUAGUGACAACACACACUCAAAUGAAAAAAUAGACAGUUUGUAGUUAAUUUGUUGCUGUAAGUUGUUUUUAACCUGGCUUCCGCAACUAUAAAUGGAUAAUUAAUUAUGUAAAAUGUUUUUUUUUUGUAUGUUCAGUAGAUAAAUUUGAAGAUAUUUGUGAUUUCGUAUAAGAAAAUCUUAAAAGGCCAGAUUUUUUAAAUAAAAUUUUAAUUUAGGUACCUAAUUUUUUUAAAACUAUGUAACUAUAAUUAACGAAAUUAUGAAUUUUAGUCACAAAUAUCUACAAAUUAUUAUAGUAGACAUUGUAACGGCUUAUAAACGCCUGUAGACAUGCGCAUUAUUAAAUUUAAUUGCUGUUAUGUAGUUGCAUUUUUAACAAAGUAUUAUAUUGUAUAGUUCUUGUAAUAAUAGGGAAAUAUGGAAAUUCUAAAAUAGUUUAAAUCUAAUAUAUAAAUGUUGUUUAUUAUUAGUUAUUUUUGUAUUUUGUAUGUAAUUUAUACUUGACAUGACAUUUCAUAAUUUAACGAACAAAGCGGUAGAUGGCCUUGUUUUAUAUUCAUUUAUUAUCUGUUUAAUAUACUGAAUAUAAUAUGUGUUUAAUUUGUUUUUUUAUAAUAUUGGGACCAAUAAAUGUGCAUUGUUGAACGUUCAAAGUAGUUAGCAAAUAUCACAGCUUCGUUAAAAAUGUACGCUUUAUUUUUUUUUAUAUUUUUGUCUAAAAAUUUCAUUUUUCCUAGUAUCGAACCGGCGACCACUUGGCAAGGAAAACCUAUCUUCAUGUCAUCUCUAUACGCUAUACAUAAUAUAUCGAGUCAUCGAUUGGAGCCUUAUUUAUAUAUGUAUAGAAAAUAGUGUAAAAAUAAAAAUAAUGAUUG